rnacentral:lncRNA from 1 species
ACAAUGCAAUGGCUGAGAACUGAUGAAUUCACUGGACAAGAUUGGAUACAAUUCUGUCAAUGCAUCAUUAUGCAGUCUAAAGGGAAAUCUGUCCGAGCUCUCACUCAGAAAUGCUGUAUAGUAUAUGGUUAGAAAGAAAUGCGAGAAUCUUUGAAAACAUCUAUUGUAAUUGUGAUAAACUUCUAAGUAGUCUAGCCUAUAUCUGUAAUGUUCGAGCUCCUCC